UACGAAGGGGGCUAGCGUUGCUCGGAAUCACUGGGCGUAAAGGGUGCGUAGGCGGGUCUUUAAGUCAGGGGUGAAAUCCUGGAGCUCAACUCCAGACUGCCUUUGAUACUGAGGAUCUUGAGUUCGGGAGAGGUGAGUGGAACUGCGAGUGUAGAGGUGAAAUUCGUAGAUAUUCGCAAGAACACCAGUGGCGAAGGCGGCUCACUGGCCCGGUACUGACGCUG
rnacentral:rRNA from 1 species